GGCAAGAUGGCCGAGUGGUUAAGGCGGUGAGUGUUUCCAUGUGUCCCUUAGUCUUUCGACAUUCUAUCUAAUAAAUCAACCAGUUACGUUUAGGCCGUAAUGGGAAACCGCGUGGGUUCGAAUCCCACUCUUGUCA
rfam:Aspergillus fumigatus Af293 chromosome 6, whole genome shotgun sequence.